CGCCCUCUGUCUCUCUUUGCGAUGGCGGCGGGCCGUUGCGGUCGCUGCUCCGCGGGGACAAUCCGCCGCCAUCCGCCGUCUGUGGAGGCCCCGCCGCGUCGGUGCCCCGGGCGCUCGGCGGGAUGACGUGGCUCCUUCCGUGGUGCGGGAUCUGGGCCGCCGUGGGGAGCGGUGUGAGGUGCUGUUCCUGUCGUCACCCGGUGCAGGAGGCGGUGCUGGGCAGGGUUUCUCGCUGUUUGGAGCUCACUGCCUGCCUGCUGAUAGACCCAAGGAACUGCAUGCUUAGUGGAAGAGUCUGAGAGCUCAUGAGACCCCGUGGAGGGUAUUGGUUUGCUUUCCUUAAGGCUGAAAUUGUGGAGAAACUGAAGUGGAGCAUGUCAGUGCCUCUUGUUUAAACGGAAUACAGACCAAGUGUCUUCAAUCCUGAAGAAGCAGCGGUCUGCACAGCCUCACGGUGGCUGCUCUGUGAGUUGGGAGCUCCCCCAGGUGGGAGAGCUGUAGUGGUGCAGCAGUCACUGAGUGCUGUGGGCACUCAGCCUCUGAGGGACAAUGCCAGAGCUCCCAUUCAGAUGCUCAGCGAGGAAGAAUGUUCCUUGCUACCGAGUUCUGUCAAAAGAAGAGCUUUCAGGAAGGUCUGGAUAGGAAAUAUUUGGAGUAUGGUACCAAAGUCUGGGGCUUCCAGCACAGGAGAGAUAUGCAGCAAAGCCAGAGCGAGUUGGAGGGGCAGCUGGGUGAUGGCUGCCCUCACUGCAUCAACGUGUUGGCACACAGUGCUGAGGUUUGGGCACAGCAGAAACGCCAAUUAAUCCUACAGUUCAUUCUUACCUCUUCAUCCCUUUAGACAUGUAGCUCAGUUAUAUGAUUUCUUAAAGUUUUACUGUUAAGACUUUUCCAUUAUAGUAUGUAAAUAAUUUUAUUAUAAAAUAAUGAUAAAAUACAUUUUACAAAAUGCACUUGCUUUGUGCUGCCGGUCUGUUAACCUCUGUUGUCUUUGGUUCUCUGGGAGGAAACAUGUAUCUGUCCAGAAACACAGAAGUAGCAUCUCCCAGGGUGCUCCCAGAGGUUCUCAGGGUGCCCUACAGUUGCCAGGGAGCUCUGGGAGCAGUCUGGUGUGGCCCAGAGCACACUGGGGCAUACAUAGACUAGAGUGGAGUACACUGGAAAGCCUCUAAGCUACCUUAGAAUGCACUGAGAAGUUCUGGGAGUAUUGUAGGUGUCCUCCAGAGGCAUCCUUGGAAGCCUGUAGGAUGCACUAGGAGACAUAGACAAGCUUUGGGAAUCCAAUAGUGUGUCCUAGUGUAUUGGAUGGCCUCGGGAGGUCUCUGGGAUGCACUGAGGGGUCCUGGGAGCCCAGUAGGACAGACUGGGAAAUCAGUGAAGAACCUGGAGCGUGCUGAGGGGCUGCGAGAGGCCUCUAGGCUGUUCUGGGUUGUACAUAGGGCUCCUCAGAGCACGUUCAAUAGUUCUAGGAAAUGUAGGACCUGGUUAUCACACGACAUCCCCUCCAACUCCUUCCGCUUUUGCUGACCUUCUGCUUCCCCUGCUUUUAAUUGUGAUGAGGGGCAGAAGCUCCACCACGUGUAGGGUGGGCUGCACCUUUCUGCCUUCUUCAGUUUUCUGGAGUUGGAGAAUUUUUCCUUUCUCGUGAACAUCUGUGUAAUAAAUGGCCGAACCGA